rnacentral:rRNA from 1 species
GUCAAGUAAUUAAGUGCAUGUGGUGGAUGCCUUGGCAGUCAGAGGCGAUGAAAGACGUGAUAGCCUGCGAAAAGCUCCGGGGAGGCGGCAAAUAUCCUUUGAUCCGGAGAUGUCUGAAUGGGGGAACCCACCUACUUUAAGGUAGGUAUUGCAACAUGAAUACAUAGUGUUGCAAGGCGAACGAGGGGAAGUGAAACAUCUCAGUACCCUUAGGAAAAGAAAUCAAUUGAGAUUCCCUCAGUAGCGGCGAGCGAACGGGGAUCAGCCCAUUAAGUUAUGUGUGUUUUAGUGGAACGCUCUGGGAAGUGCGAACGUAGAGGGUGAUAUUCCCGUACACGAAAGGGCACACAUAAUGAUGACGAGUAGGGCGAGGCACGUGAAACCUUGUCUGAAUAUGGGGGGACCAUCCUCCAAGGCUAAAUACUCCUGACUGACCGAUAGUGAACCAGUACCGUGAGGGAAAGGCGAAAAGAACCCCUGUGAGGGGAGUGAAAUAGAUCCUGAAACCGCAUGCAUACAAGCAGUGGGAGCACCUUCGUGGUGUGACUGCGUACCUUUUGUAUAAUGGGUCAGCGACUUAUAUUCAGUAGCGAGGUUAACCGUAUAGGGGAGCCGUAGAGAAAUCGAGUCUUAAUAGGGCGUUUAGUUGCUGGGUAUAGACCCGAAACCAGGCGAUCUAUCCAUGAGCAGGUUGAAGGUUGGGUAACACUAACUGGAGGACCGAACCCACUGUCGUUGAAAAGCCAGGGGAUGACUUGUGGAUAGGGGUGAAAGGCUAAUCAAGCCUGGUGAUAGCUGGUUCUCCCCGAAAGCUAUUUAGGUAGCGCCUCGGACGAAUACCAUAGGGGGUAGAGCACUGUUUCGGCUAGGGGGUCAUCCCGACUUACCAAACCGAUGCAAACUCCGAAUACCUAUGAGUACUAUCCGGGAGACAGACUGCGGGUGCUAACGUCCGUAGUCAAGAGGAAAACAAUCCAGACCGCCAGCUAAGGCCCCAAAAUCAUAGUUAAGUGGGAAACGAUGUGGGAAGGCAUAGACAGCUAGGAGGUUGGCUUAGAAGCAGCCACCCUUUAAAGAAAGCGUAAUAGCUCACUAGUCGAGUCGGCCUGCGCGGAAGAUGUAACGGGGCUAAAA